rnacentral:lncRNA from 1 species
GUGAAAUAUUGUUGGCAGUUUACUAGUUAAUUUCAAAGACAAUUUCCAACAAGUUGGGUUGAAAUUAAUUCUUUUCCCCACGGCUUGUAGAUAUUUUUGCUAUACCAUUUAUCCUUAAAGCAAUAGUACUGUACCCUAUUUAAUCUCCUUUGUAGUCAGGGGAUUUAACAAGUUGGUUUUGAUUUUUUGCCCAAAUCAGAUUUCUAAUUCAAAGUAAUAGAACAAAGGAUUGUUCUUGAAAUACUUGAAGUAGAAGGAAGCUUGGGUGAAAGUGAUCAUGAAAUCAUAGAAUUUGCAAUUCUAAGGAAGGGUAGAAAGGAGUACAGCAGAAUAGAGACAAUGGAUUUCAGGAAAGCGGAUUUUGGUAAGCUCAGAGAGCUGAUAGGCAAGGUCCCAUGGGAAUUAAGACUGAGAGGAAAAACAACUGAGGAAAGUUGGCAGUUUUUCAAAGGGACGCUAUUAAGGGCCCAAAAGCAAGUUAUUCCGAUGGUUAGGAAAGACAGAAAAUGUGGCAAAAGACCACCUUGGUUUACCCUUGAGAUCUUGCGUGACCUACAAAAUAAAAAGGCGUCAUAUAAAAAAUGGAAACUAGGUCAGAUCACGAAGGAUGAAUAUAGGCAAAUAACACAGGAAUGCAGAGGCAAGAUUAGAAAAGCAAAGGCACAAAAUGAACUCAAACUAGCUAUGGGAAUAAAGGGAAACAAGAAGACUUUUUAUCAAUACAUUAGAAGCAAGAGGAAGACUAAGGACAGGGUAGGCCCACUGCUCAAUGAGGAGGGGGUAACAGUAACGGGAGACUUGGAAAUGGCAGAGAUGCUUAAUGACUUCUUUGUUUCGGUCUUCACUGAGAAGUCUGAAGGAAUGUCUAGUAUAGUGAAUGCUUACGGGAAGAGGGUAGGUUUAGAAGAGAAAAUAAGGAAAGAGCAAGUAAAAAAUCACUUAGAAAAGUUAGAUGCCUGCAAGUCACCAGGGCCUGAUGAAAUGCAUCCUAGAAUACUCAAGGAGUUAAUAGAAGAGGUAUCUGAGCCUCUAGCUAUUAUCUUUGGGAAAUCAUGGGAGACGGGGGAGAUUCCAGAAGACUGGAAGGGGGCAAAUAUAGUGCCCAUCUAUAAAAAGGGAAAUAAAAACAACCCAGGAAACUACAGACCAGUUAGUUUAAC